rnacentral:rRNA from 1 species
GGUUAAGUCCCGCAACGAGCGCAACCCUUAUCCCCAGUUGCCAUCAGGUAAAGCUGGGAACGUCUGGGGAGACUGCCGGUGAUAAACCGGAGGAAGGCGGGGGAUGACGUCAAGUCCUCAUGGCCCUUACAUCCCGGGCUACACACGUGCUACAAUGGCAGGUACAGAGGGCUGCGAAGCCGCGAGGUGGAGCGAAUCCCAGAAAACCUGUCUCAGUCCGGAUUGAAGUCUGCAACUCGACUUCAUGAAGGCGGAAUCGCUAGUAACCGCGAAUCAGCAGGUCGCGGUGAAUACGUUCCCGGGCCUU